AUGGCCAUCUUCGACGAGUUCUACAUUGGGUCCAUCGACCUCGGGCGCCUCAACUUUGGGAUCAUUUCGCUCAUUCCCAAGGUGCCUGGGGCGUCCGACAUCCGCCAGUUUCGUCCGAUCAUGGUGAUUAAUGUGAUCUUCCGGAUUCUGGCAAAAGGGUACGCCAAUAGGGUGACCCCUCUUGCCGACCACAUUACCCACCCCAACCAAUCCGCCUUCAUUCAAGGUCGGUAUAUCCUGGAUGGGGUGCUAGUCCUUCAUGAAAUCCUGCAUGAGGUCCGAUCCAAACACCUCAGGGCGGUCUUCCUGAAGAUCGAUUUCCAUAAGGCAUACGACACUGUUAGCUGGCCCUUC
rnacentral:rRNA from 1 species